AUUGAACGCUGGCGGCAGGCCUAACACAUGCAAGUCGAACGGUAACAGGAAGCAGCUUGCUGCUUUGCUGACGAGUGGCGGACGGGUGAGUAAUGUCUGGGAAACUGCCUGAUGGAGGGGGAUAACUACUGGAAACGGUAGCUAAUACCGCAUAACGUCGCAAGACCAAAGAGGGGGACCUUCGGGCCUCUUGCCAUCGGAUGUGCCCAGAUGGGAUUAGCUAGUAGGUGGGGUAACGGCUCACCUAGGCGACGAUCCCUAGCUGGUCUGAGAGGAUGACCAGCCACACUGGAACUGAGACACGGUCCAGACUCCUACGGGAGGCAGCAGUGGGGAAUAUUGCACAAUGGGCGCAAGCCUGAUGCAGCCAUGCCGCGUGUAUGAAGAAGGCCUUCGGGUUGUAAUGUACUUUCAGCGGGGAGGAAGGGAGUAAAGUUAAUACCUUUGCUCAUUGACGUUACCCGCAGAAGAAGCACCGGCUAACUCCGUG
rnacentral:rRNA from 1 species